rnacentral:rRNA from 1 species
UACGGAGGGUGCGAGCGUUGUCCGGAUUUACUGGGCGUAAAGCGCGCGUAGGCGGAACGUCAAGCGGGGCCGGAAAGCCCCCGGCUCAACCGGGGAAGAGGCCGUGAACUGGCGUUCUUGAGGGGGAGAGAGGAGAGCGGAAUUCCUGGUGGUAGCGGUGAAAUGCGCAGAUAUCAGGAGGAACACCGGUGGCGAAGGCGGUUCUCUGGGCCUGUACUGACGCUGAGGAGCGAAAGCGUGGGGAGCGAACAGGA